rnacentral:tRNA from 1 species
GGCAGAUGGCCAUAGCUCAGUGGUAGAUCAUCUGUUUUGCAUGCAGAAGGUCCCAGGUUCAAUCCCUGGCAUCUCCA